AGCGUUGCUGGUGAAUAAAAAGGAGAGAGGAGGCGCCUCUUACUGCUCUGCCGGAAAACUGCAGCCUGCGCUCCUGAUUGGACUCACCGAGCCCUAAACAAACAGCGCUCGCCGAAGGGUGCCAGGCUGUGGGUCGGAACUGCGCUCUGCGAGCAGCUGGGCGCUGGAGGUUAUUCCCUGAGGUGCACAGGAUAGAAAAGGGCUUCCACUCCAGUCGCGCCCGCUGAUGCUUUCCGAGUUUGGGUGUCCCGUUUGCUCUGAGCUUUUCCUGGAGAACUUCAGGUAAGUCUCAGAUUAAGUCGCUGAAACGAGGGGGGGGGGGUCACCUUCUCUGGACCCAGCGCGAAAUACCGCUUCCCACCCCCACCCUCACAUACACACCCCUUCUUCGCUCCCUCCAAAUGGUUAUCACAACUGUGUACAAACUGAUACGGCCCUUAGCCGGCAAAGGGACUGAAAAUAAACGUCGCGGGGUUAUCAGCGCCGAUCUGUCAUCAGCGACUCGCGCGGCCACAGGUUUGUCCGCAGCAGGAGCCCUGAUAUUAGGUCUCGCUCCCUUUCUCUCACAAAGGGGACUUCUUCCGACAGAUGUGACCCCAGAAGGCUGGCGAGAGAGAAUUUUAACUAGGGCAGGAGGAGUUCUUUUGUGGGAAUGGAUUUUUACACUUUUUUUCCCCAGGUAAAUCGAAGUAAAUGAUUUUCUAAAGUUUCAGUGUGGUGGCAUUACGGAAAGACUGAAGGCAGAAAACUCUGGAACGGAGACUGGCGACUGGAGCUGGAUCCAGGAGCUUAAAAAUUUAACCCGAGUUCGAUCGAGUGGGACAACCAGAAGAGAGCCGGGAGUCAACAGUCUGCUUAACUCCGACCAGGGCUUCGAAUGCCUUUCUUUUGGUUUUUACGUGAGUCCCAGCCAAAUUUUUAAAUAGACUGCGUUUUGCAGAAGCUCCUUUGUAAGUAGCUAUUUCUGUAAAGAAAUGUUUGGUUUCCUUUGAGUCCAGCUGUUUCUCAGGUUUGCUCUUAAAAACAAAGUUUCCUUUUUUAAAUUCAAAUCUCAGUGAGAUGAUUUCUAAUAAAGGUGUGCUAACAAAUAAAUCCUUUGGCUAUGUUAGAGUCCAGGCUGUGAAGGCCCCCAAGCCUGAGAUACAAGGAGACACAGCCUGCCGCGCCCCUAAUUCCUACUGUGUGUUUCUUUAUAUGUAUUUGCAAGUACGGGGUGGCUGGGGGGUGCCCGUGUGAAUUUCCUUGGACAUUAGCUAACCCCCAAGGACCCGCUUUUCCCCGAAUCUCCACAGCAACAGUGAGAUGGGUGCAUUGGCCCCGCUGCAGAGGUGAGAGGUGGAACAGUGACCGAAGUCCCCAACGUGAGGGUCCUAAGGGCUCAAAAAAGGACCCGACAUUUUACCCUCCAGAUUCCCAAUCUCUUUUUAACAU